rnacentral:lncRNA from 1 species
CCCUUUUGAAUUUACUUACAGUCAAUCCUAAUAAUGAUGAGAUGAAAAAUGACAUCUAAAAAAUACUUACUUUUAAGAAAAUGUAUGCUCGAUACACAGAGAUUGAACAUGUCGAGCAUUAAUUUAUUUAUCGCAAAUGCAUUAAUAAUGCUCGACAUACUCAAUCAAAAUUUAAAUAAGGCUAAAUUUAUCAUUUCAAGCUCAAGAUGAGUAGCUUUCAU